GCCAGAUCCAGACAGAGAGCCUGCAGAGGUUGCUGGGGGUGGUGGUGGUGGUGUAGUGCUGGCGGUGGUAGUAGUGGUGGUGGUGAGUGUUGCCCAUCAUGGGGGGGCCCCGGCUGCUCAGCCCCUCCACCGCCCCCAGCCCGCCCCCGGAGUAAUCCUGCGCGAACCACCUGAAGCUGAGGAUCUGCACCAGCACGGAGGGCACCAGCACGAGGAACAGGAACAGGAUGGUAUCAGGAUACCGACAGCGGCCUCCCAACGCUCAGGAUCCCGACACCUACUAGGUUCCGACGGUGGUGUUCCAACUGCCGGGUGUUUCCCGAAUGCCAGAAUCCUGACCGGAUCCCAUACAAAACACCAUAACCAUGCCAUAAGGGUAUAUCCAAUAAUUGGCAUUUCCGCAACAUAGAU